GGAGAAAGUUGGACCUAACGGCAGCAACUACCAUCACUGGACUUACAUUGUAUGCAGAGUUUCAGCGGAUUACAAAUCAGAACCUGCCCAAUACAUUCUACGCUGAACUUGACCGCCAUCUUCCUCGACUGAUGACCUUAUUCAGACAGAAGGCAUCAAAAACUGGGAAGACAGCAGAUGCCCUGGCUGAAAGUCUAAGAAUUCACAAUGAACAGGAAAUCCAUGAUAUCCACACCAAGCGCACUACCGUUCUCCACGCCCUUCCUGUCUAUCUGCGUGAGGAUGUCUCUGGAUUUUUCAGAACCUGCACUGACGAAUCUGAUGAGUUAGAGCUUGAUGGUGUUGAAGUGGCCCUCUUCACUGUCAUCAGUGACCAUGACACGACAAGUCCAGUUCAC
ensembl:lncRNA